rnacentral:rRNA from 1 species
AGCAGCCGCGGUAAUUCCAGCUCCAAUAGCGUAUAUUAAAGUUGUUGCAGUUAAAAAGCUCGUAGUUGAAUUUCGGGACCAAUUUGUUGGUCGUGCCUCGGUACGUACUGGUAUUAUUGGUUUCUCCCUUCUGAAGAACCCCGAUGUCAUUAAUUUGGUGUCGUGGGGAAUCAGGACUGUUACUUUGAAAAAAU